CCUACGGGCGGCAGCAGUGGGGAAUAUUGGACAAUGGGGGGAACCCUGAUCCAGCCAUGCCGCGUGUGUGAAGAAGGCCCUCGGGUUGUAAAGCACUUUCAGUGAGGAAGAACGCCUGGUGGUUAAUACCCAUCAGGAAAGACAUCACUCACAGAAGAAGCACCGGCUAACUCCGUGCCAGCAGCCGCGGUAAUAUGGAGGGUGCGAGCGUUAAUCGGAAUUACUGGGCGUAAAGCGCGCGUAGGUGGCUUGAUAAGCCGGUUGUGAAAGCCCCAGGCUCAACCUGGGAACGGCAUCCGGAACUGUCAAGCUAGGGUGCAGGAGAGGAAGGUAGAAUUCCCGGUGUAGCGGUGAAAUGCGUAGAGAUCGGGAGGAAUACCAGUGGCGAAGGCGGCCUUCUGGACUGACACUGACACUGAGGUGCGAAAGCGUGGGUAGCAAACAGGAUUAGAUACCCGAGUAGUC
rnacentral:rRNA from 1 species